UGGGUAUGAAUGUAACUAUUAGUGUAUUAUAUUUAUCAUACAUAUCAGAAGCAUUAAUUGUAUUUAAGUUGACCCUGAAACCUGCACAUGUCGAUGCAACCCUUUAUUAUAUAUUAGUAGGCAAUAAGGAGCCCAUAAUACACAUACCACUGUUUGGAAACAGUUGAGGUAAAGGUUUUACAGAUUCAGAAAAACUAAUAAAAUCCACUAUUAACGAUAUCCAUUCCAGAUCGUAUCAGUAAAACGAUGCAUCCCUGUAUGACAUGUAUGACAUGUAUGUCAUAUGUCAGUGUAUGACAUAAGAAUCAUGAACAUUUGACAUUAACAGGAAUGUGGCAGCAUUUACACUUACAUUUUUAAUACUCCUGCUGGUCUUCUGAUGUCUGCAUGAGAUAAGAGCUGUAUUUUAUUAACUGCUCACAGCGUGGGAAAAGGACAAUAAAAGAAUACAGUGAUUCUGACUGAAAGAGCUGGAAAGUGAGAGCACAAUCCAAAUGGUGCCAGGCUCCCCUCACAACACUGCACAAAAGGAUCCAUGUCAGUGCAGGAUGGCAGAAAAACACAGUCACUCUCACCAGCCUAUAUACACAGGCCUUACACAACUACAACAGCAAAGUGGUAACCACAUUAACACGUACAACCUGAACAUUCACAAGUGUGGCCGCUCCUAAAUAAAAUCAUCAUAAAAAUUCUUUGUCACAUAAGGUUUCAAAGGGCAACCAUAAACAUAACUGACAUAGCAGAGUUGGACCCAGGAGCCUCCACUGGACUGCAAAUUAUUUGCUCUUCCUUGGUCCUUUCUGUCACCUCAGUGACAUGUAUAAAAACAUUAAUAAAAGCUAAAGAGGCAGAUUAUAGGAUUUUUAUGCACUCUUAUGUACUUCCAAUCACCGCACAUAACAACUCCUGACACUGGCCCUCAUUUCCCACUGUGUUUUUGUAAGGUACAGGCUACACAACAAGGCUUAAACCUUUAACUUCUCUGCUUAUUAUUCAGCUAUUCACCUUAAGGCAUAUUAUUCAGUAACUACAAUUAAACUAAAGAAUGUAGAUGCAACAGUGGGGAAUUUGUAUUUGGUUAUUCUGGGAGUGUAAAGGGCUAAAUAACUUUGAAAAGAAAAGCCACACACAGUGUGACUAGACCAUCUCCAUAUGGUACUCAUCAACACAUUGUAACAAAGUUAAUCUCUGGCCUGAUAUCUAAAAUCAGAACUUCAGCCAGUCAGAUCUGAAGAUAAUGAUGGUGCUUUGUGGCCUGUGGCUUUUCAGUAGUAGGUGAACAAACACAACAGGUGCUUUGAAGUGAAUUAAACAAGGUAUUCAGUCAACCAGAUAAUACAGAUUUAUUGCUCCAAUAAAACUUGUGAGGGGGGAAGAAAUUCGUCUCCCUUUCAUAGGUUGUAACAAAGUCCACACUGGAUGUUGGUAUGGAAAUUUCAGGAACAAUUUACAUCAGCACAGACUGCCUAAUAUUAAUUUAAGUGUUCUGCAAAAGCUAAAGACUUCCCAGGGGAAUGAGUUCAGAAUAAAGGAAAGGUUUCUGCUCUGAAUCCGAGGGGCCUGACUGUGGACUCACAUGAUCAGCUCAUGUGAAAAAGAGAUAUAAAAAUGGAUUUAAAUGGAGUGCUGUACUGUCUCUCAGCCACAUACACCAUACUCCAUUUCAUAUUUCUGAUGGGCUGAAAAAGGAGUGGGGAAAAGGAGAUAAUAGCAAAAGAAAAGUGAUAAAUACUUAAUGAAACAGCUAUAUAAUUGUGGACAUUUAUGUGAAACCACUAUAACAAUCAAAGAUGGUCCACAAAUACAUGCUCUACCACCUUAUCAUGACACUUGCAGCUCCAUUGGUUUUAUGGGUUGUGUAUGUUGCCAUCCAAGACCAAGGAAAAUACUUGUAAGGGGAAAAAUGCUAUUUCCUUCCCUCAAAAGAAAACCACGGGAAAAACCUUAUCUUAGAUGUAAUGGUUUUCAGAUUUUACAAGCAUAUUAAAUGGGUAAAACCAUUAAUUAAACCUUUGGGACAACAUUAAAUUGUUUUUCUUUGUACAGAACAUUGGACAUAUUUUUAUCCAUUAAAUGAUUUGAUGCUUUAUCAAUAGAAUCUGUGUUUGAAAUAGAAGAUGUACUAAGACUAAUAUGUGAUGUCUACUUAAACAUCCACUUCAUACAGAUGGCCUGAGAAAGACAAAUGAGAAUGCAAAUUCUGAUUAUUAAUCUUGAGCAUUUUUAAUAAAAAAUGGGCCUAUAAUAUACAACACAGCUUACUUCUUUUUCAUUUCAAAUGAAAACCUUCCAUUUUUUAAAUGCUGACCUAAAGUUGAAAUGGGAGAAUUCCUCCUGACAUUAUGCGAUGAGUACUCGUCGAAUUCGCAACCCCUCAAUUAGACAACAGUAGUCAUACAGAUAAAAACAGUGGCAUAUACUUCCAUCCAGAUGCAUACAGAUACAAAUAUUAUAAAAUCACUAUUAUAUCUCAUUUCUAACUCAUUCCUUGACUAUGCAAUCAUGGAUAGAGCAGGCGGAUGUUCCAAAUCACAGAAGCCCAUGCAAAUGCUCUGUAUGUGUACAAGACAGAUAGAGUGCUUUAAGGGUGAGGCAACCCAUUCACUUAUGAAUGAUAUGAAUGUCUGGUUUUCAAGUUUAAGUAUGGCAUUGCUUGUGUUCUGGUCAUAAUGCAUAGUGCUUGUAAAGAAUGUUAUUCUUUCACAUGCCAGUCAAACCUCACCA
ensembl:lncRNA